rnacentral:rRNA from 1 species
AGUGAACGCUGGCGGCAGGCCUAACACAUGCAAGUCGAGCGGCAGCGCGGGGCAACCUGGCGGCGAGCGGCGGACGGGUGAGGAAUACAUCGGAAUCUACCCUGUCGUGGGGGAUAACGUAGGGAAACUUACGCUAAUACCGCAUACGAACUGAGGUUGAAAGCGGCGGACCGCAAGGCGUCGCGCGAUUGGAUGAGCCGAUGUCCGAUUAGCUAGUUGGCGGGGUAAAGGCCCACCAAGGCGACGAUCGGUAGCUGGUCUGAGAGGACGACCAGCCACACUGGAACUGAGACACGGUCCAGACUCCUACGGGAGGCAGCAGUGGGGAAUAUUGGACAAUGGGCGCAAGCCUGAUCCAGCCAUGCCGCGUGGGUGAAGAAGGCCUUCGGGUUGUAAAGCCCUUUUGUCCGGAAAGAAAUCCUAUCGGUUAAUACCCGGUGGGGAUGACGGUACCGGAAGAAUAAGCACCGGCUAACUUCGUGCCAGCCGCCGCGGUAA